AUUGAACGCUGGCGGCAGGCCUAACACAUGCAAGUCGAACGAGGGGCAGACGGGUGAAUAAUGUCUGGGAAACUGCCCGGUGGAGGGGGAUAACUACUGGAAAAGGUAGCUAAUACCGCAUACCAUCGGAUGUGCCCAGAUGGGAUGAGCUAGGAGGUGGGGUAACGGCUCACCUAGGCGACGAUCCCUAGCUGGUCUGAGAGGAUGACCAGCCACACUGGAACUGAGACACGGUCCAGACUCCUACGGGAGGCAGCAGUGGGGAAUAUUGCACAAUGGGCGCAAGCCUGAUGCAGCCAUGCCGCGUGUAUGAAGAAGGCCUUCGGGUUGUAAAGUACUUUCAGCGGGGAGGCGUUACCCGCAGAAGAAGCACCGGCUAACUCCGUGCCAGCAGCCGCGGUAAUUC
rnacentral:rRNA from 1 species